rnacentral:lncRNA from 1 species
UAUUUUCUCCCCCGUAAUUCUGUCUUGACACAAUAUCCUGCUGAAGGAACAAGGAGACAACUUGGCACAGGAAGAUAAAUAUUGCAGUGGGGAAAUGUCAGCUUUUUAAAUGAAAACCACUGGAGCUGAAAAAUCUACUCCCUGUGUGAUAGCAGUCACAUGCAAAGACAAUCUACACAGUUUUACAAGGGCUGUGUCCAUACUGAUGAAAUCGUGGAUCCCUGAAGUGUCGAGGAAGAUGCAAAGAGUACAUUCCAAGAGCAAGUGCAAGCAUGAGAAAAAGGAAGGCAUCUAGGUGCUGCAAUCAAUAGAAUACUGGGCUUGGCUGGUAUUAAUAAGAUCAAAGUUCAAAUCAUCCUGGCACUCCAUAGCUGUAUGAUCCUGAGUAAGUCUCAUAAGCUCUAUCGCCUUCAGGUUUCUCAUCUGUAAAGUGAGGCUAAUGAUAA